rnacentral:rRNA from 1 species
GCCCAGACUCCUACGGGAGGCAGCAGUCGGGAAUAUUGCGCAAUGGAGGGAACUCUGACGCAGUGACGCCGCGUAUAGGAAGAAGGUUUUCGGAUUGUAAACUAUUGUCAUUAGGGAAGAAAAAAGACAGUGCCUAAGAAGGAAGCUCCGGCUAACUACGUGCCAGCAGCCGCGGUAAUACGUAGGGAGCAAGCGUUAUCCGGAAUUAUUGGGUGUAAAGGGUGCGUAGACGGGAAAUUAAGUUAGUUGUGAAAUCCCUCGGCUCAACUGAGGAACUGCAACUAAAACUGAUUUUCUUGAGUGCAGGAGAGGAAAGUGGAAUUCCUAGUGUAGCGGUGAAAUGCGUAGAUAUUAGGAGGAACACCAGUGGCGAAGGCGACUUUCUGGACUGUAACUGACGUUGAGGCACGAAAGUGUGGGGAGCAAACAGGAUUAGAUACCCGCGUAA